AUUGAACGCUGGCGGCAUGCCUUACACAUGCAAGUCGAACGGUAACAGGUCUUCGGAUGCUGACGAGUGGCGAACGGGUGAGUAAUACAUCGGAACGUGCCUAGUAGUGGGGGAUAACUACUCGAAAGAGUGGCUAAUACCGCAUGAGAUCUACGGAUGAAAGCAGGGGAUCGCAAGACCUUGUGCUACUAGAGCGGCCGAUGGCAGAUUAGGUAGUUGGUGGGAUAAAAGCUUACCAAGCCGACGAUCUGUAGCUGGUCUGAGAGGACGACCAGCCACACGGGGACUGGGACACGGACCAGACUCCUACGGGAGGCAGCAGGGGGGAAUUUUGGACAAUGGGCGCAGGCCUGAUCCAGCCAUGCCGCGUGCAGGAUGAAGGCCUUCGGGUUGUAAACUGCUUGUGUACGGAACGAAAAGCCCUGGGUUAAUACCCUGGGGUCAUGACGGUACCGUAAGAAUAAGCACCGGCUAACUACGUGCCAGCAGCCGCGGUAACAC
rnacentral:rRNA from 1 species